CCUUAGAAAUUAAGAUUACACGUAGAUUUAAGUAUUCCCCCUUAGGAUUAGUGACCCCAGUCUGGCAGUAUAGCGGGAGAACAUUGAUUAAUACGAUAGGUAAUGUUAGGAUAAGAAGAUAAUAUAAAAUUUAAAAUUAAAUUACAACAGGAUUAAAAUUGGAAAGUUAAGAUUAUUAGUACAGUACUUACAUUUUCAGAUCAGUGGGUUCGGACGGGGUCCCAAAUGACAAAUGCGCAGAUGAUGCUCUCUGUUCAACUUCUUGAUGGUAACUGCGGGUGACCCGUUGGGGCGGGUCUAAUAUGCGAAGGAGUGAGGUGUUUUGCACAUGACAUUGACCUGUCUGGUAUGCAAGUAGAUGUUGCUCUUAGGAAGUCCCAAACACAUUUCUGCAUGCCUGGGGAAGCGCAAAAGGUUGAGCGUCUUAUGCAAGUAUUUGCUCAACGUUACUGUCAGUGUAAUAGGGACAUCGUGGCUAAAUUAAGAGAUCCUGAAACUAUAUUUGUGUUGGGGUUUGCCAUCAUCAUGCUAAAUAUAGAUCUUCACACUGCAUCUAUGAAACAAGAAGAAAGAAUGAAACUAGAUUUUAUUAAGAACUUAAGAGGCAAGUCAAAUGAAAGCUAUUUAGCAUUAAUAUUUUUUUCUG
rnacentral:misc_RNA from 1 species